ACUUAUUUUGGAAACUAGAUUAUUCUCAGUAGAUGUUCUCAAGUUACCAUACAUAAAAACCUGCUCUGUACCUGCAAAAUGUCCACUUACUUGACUUUUCUUCAAAAUGGAUAUGGGUUUAUUUUAUUAAAUUUCCUGCUUGUCUGAUAAUACCAGAGGAAUAUUCUAUUUGUUCAUCUAAACAACUUUGUUCUUAAGUGUUUGGCUUGGAGCAAAGAAACUAAAUUAAUCAGGGUUGCAUGUUCCUGUCCAGUGACUUACAUAAAAUGAAAUUGAUGGCCUGGUCUUAAGUUAUACAGGUGGUUCUUGCUAUUAAAAUAAAUUCCACAUAUAAAAAUUUACUUUAGCCAGACGUAUAAGGAAGGGAAACAUUUGUCUAUUGUUUCCAAACCCAGUUUGGUUUUUAAGGUGUCUUUAGUCCAACCUUACUUCUGUUGUUAAACUGUUCUGCUAAAAAUAGUUCUGAAUAGUUCAAAGCCACAUCUUUGCUGUUCUCAUUUAUAAUCUGUUGAAUUUAUAUCAUUGAGGAAUAAAUGGAUUAAAUUUUAGGGGUGAGUACUUUUCAACAAAGUAAUUCAAGUGUGAUUAAGCCCUUUCUAAUUAUAUUUGUGACUUCAAACAACAUUUCAAUGUUUCAUUUAAAUAAGUUUUUAACCAAGAUCAAAUUUUGGUGUUUAGAUUCCUCUUUCUUUCCUUCCAGGAACAAUGAAAUACAGGCUUACUAAAUCCACUAAGCUACAUUAUCUGCUAAACACCUGAAUCAGGUCACCUAAAAAUGUCAACUAGAUGACCAGGCAUGACAGGGAUCUUGAAUAGAUCUAUUAAAAGAUGUGGUAAAAUGGGAUCAGAGAGAUUUGUUGUGAGGAUUAAACACCUUGAGUAACUUAAUAUGUAUGCAUGCUUAGAAGAGUGCCUGACAAAUAGUUCACAAAAAGGAGGUGAGCCAGAUGGUUCCUGGAAAGAAAAGAACAAGGAAAUUCCAGCAAUCACAAGCUCUGGGCAGAGAUAACCACAACACCUCACCUUGAGAAAGCAGGUCUGAGGAGUGAGGUUUUUCUUUUCUUGGAUGAUUUGGCAAGCCUCUCCCUGCAGAGCUUGUACUGCAGCCACAAAUGUUUGCAGAUAGGCCUCCAGCCCUCAGUGAGCAAGUGAGAACCUGGGUCAUCACCCUUCCCAUUUCUGCUCCACUUUCUGCUUCCCUGGAGUUCAGGCUGGGCUCACAUUCUCCUUCGGCAAGGACUCAAUUAGUCCUCUUCCUUCUAAAUGUGGUGCCUUGUAUGCAAGGCUGAAAAAGGAUAGCUCUCUGUAGGGACUGAUGGGGCAUUGCCCUCGAGCCUGCCCUAGGCUCAGGAUCUAGAGACUGUAUGGUGAAAUGUGUGUGGGAAUAAAGGGAAGAAGGAAGUCAUUGAAGAGAGGAAAUAAAGUGGUGGUGGGUGGGGAGCGGGGCUUUGGGAGGCAGGUAUGGGUGACAAAACCUACUGCAUUAAUUAACAUAUUACUUGUUGCUACAACAGAUAAAUCCAAACAUUUCAGUUGCUUAAUCCUAAGAAAACUUAGUUCUUGCUCACAGGAAGUCCAAAACAAGUAUUUCUGAUUGGCAAGCAGCUGUCUUCCUAAGCUAUAAUUCAGGAACCUAGAUUCCUUGAAUCGUGUGUUCUAUCAUCUUUAAUGUGUGGCUUCUAAGUUCCUCUCCAACAAGCUAGAGGAAGGGCAAAAACCUGGACAGUCAAGUGUAAGGGCUUUUAUGGUUCUGUACUAGAAGUGUCACACAUCACAUUUUCUUAUGUUCGCUAGGACCCAGUCACAUGGCAUGCACAAUGGACAGAGAGGCUGGGAAAUGUAGUGUAGUUGAGUGCCCAAGAGAAAAAAAGGGGUUGGUGAGCAACUAGCUAAUUUAACAUUGCCUAUUUAAUUUUG